rnacentral:tRNA from 1 species
AGUCUUAUAGUCAAUAAUGAUAUAAAAUUGCAAAUUUUAAGGAGUAAAAGUAUACUAAGGCUU